rnacentral:rRNA from 1 species
UACGUAGGUGGCAAGCGUUGUCCGGAUUUACUGGGCGUAAAGAGCGCGCAGGCGGUCAGAUAAGUCGAAUGUGAAAGCCCCUGGCUCAACUGGGGAGGGUCAUUCGAUACUGUUCGACUCGAAGGCAGGAGAGGGAAGUGGAAUUCCCGGUGUAGUGGUGAAAUGCGUAGAUAUCGGGAGGAACACCAGUGGCGAAGGCGACUUCCUGGCCUGUUCUUGACGCUGAGGCGCGAAAGCUAGGGGAGCAAACAGG